rnacentral:rRNA from 1 species
ACGAACGCUGGCGGCAGGCCUAACACAUGCAAGUCGAACGCUCCUAGCAAUACGGGAGUGGCAGACGGGUGAGUAACACGUGGGAACCUUCCCUAUGGUUCGGAAUAGCUCAGGGAAACUUGGGGUAAUACCGGAUAAGCCCUUCGGGGGAAAGAUUUAUCGCCAUUGGAUGGGCCCGCGUCGGAUUAGCUAGUUGGUGAGGUAACGGCUCACCAAGGCAACGAUCCGUAGCUGGUCUGAGGGGGCGACGGACACACUGGGACUGAGACACGGCCCAGACUCCUACGGGAGGCAGCAGUGGGGAAUUGUUCGCAAUGGGCGCAAGCCUGACGACGCAACGCCGCGUGGAGGACGAAGAUCUUCGGGUCGUAAACUCCUGUCGAGUGGGAAGAAUGGAUCGGGGAUAAAUAUUCCCCGGUAUUGACGGUACCGCUAAAGGAAGCCCCGGCUAACUCCGUGCC